rnacentral:rRNA from 1 species
UACGUAGGUGGCAAGCGUUGUCCGGAUUUACUGGGCGUAAAGAGCGCGCAGGCGGUCGGAUAAGUCGAAUGUGAAAGCCCCCGGCUCAACUGGGGAGGGUCAUUCGAUACUGUUCGACUGGAAGGCAGGAGAGGGAAGCGGAAUUCCCGGUGUAGUGGUGAAGUGCGUAGAUAUCGGGAGGAACACCAGUGGCGAAGGCGGCUUCCUGGCCUGUUCUUGACGCUGAGGCGCGAAAGCUAGGGGAGCAAACGGG